rnacentral:rRNA from 1 species
GACGAACGCUGGCGGCGUGCUUAACACAUGCAAGUCGAACGGAAAGGCCCUGCUUUUGUGGGGUGCUCGAGUGGCGAACGGGUGAGUAACACGUGAGUAACCUGCCCUUGACUUUGUGAUAACUUCAGGAAACUCGGGCUAAUACCGGAUAGGAUCUCCUGCUGCAUGGUGGUGGUUGGAAAGUUUCGGCGGUUGGGGAUGGACUCGCGGCUUAUCAGCUUGUUUGUGGGGUAGUGGCUUACCAAGGGUUUGACGGCUAGCCGGCCUGAGAGGGUGACCGGGGACAUGGGGACUGAGAGACGGACCAGACUCGUACGGGAGGCAGCAGGGGGGAAUAUUGCAGAAUGGGGGGAAGCCUGAUGCAGCAACGCCGCGUGCGGGAUGACGGCCUUCGGGUUGUAAACCGAUUUCGCCUGUGACGAAGCGUGAGUGACGGUAAUGGGUAAAGAAGCACCGGCUAACUACGUG